GCACCACAACAGGUGGAGCCUGCGGUUUAAUCGGACUCAACGCCGGGAAACUCACCAGAUAAGCAGCUGAAUGAUAGUCGGGCUGAAGACUCUACUUGACUAGCUGAGAGGAGGUGCAUGGCCGUCGUCAGUUCGUACUGUGAAGCAUCCUGUUAAGUCAGGCAACGAGCGAGACCCACGCCAACAGUUGCCAGCUCGUCCUCCGGGAUGGUGGGGACACUGUUGGGACCGCCUCUGCUAAAGAGGAGGAAGGAAUGGGCAACGGUAGGUCAGCAUGCCCCGAAUUAUCUGGGCUACACGCGGGCUACAAUGGGUGGGACAAUGGGUAUCGACACCGAAAGGUGAAGGCAAUCUCCUAAACCCAUCCGUAGUUCGGAUUGUGGGCUGCAGCUCGCCCACAUGAAGCUGGAAUCUGUAGUAAUCGUGUCUCAAAAUGGCACGGUGAAUAUGUCCCUGCUCCUU
rnacentral:rRNA from 1 species